rnacentral:lncRNA from 1 species
UCGGCCUCCCAAAGUGCUGGGACCCCAGGCGUGAGCCACUGCUCCCGGCUGACCAAAACAUCUUUAUGCUGAGCAUGGCUACACCUGUAUGUAUGUUUAUUUCUGCAUGACUGAAAUAAUGGAAUAGACUUACGAGGUGCUAACAACGGUUCUCUCUGGGUGAUGAGCUGUGGGUUUAGUUCCUUCUUUCUCGUACUUUCUCAGGACUUGUAUUUGACAAUGGCGUGUUAGCCGGGGCAGGGAGUCGCCAGCCACGACGGGCUUGGCAUUCCAGGACACGCUCCCCCAGUUCUCACGGGUUCCCAGGGCUGCAGUCAGCAGUGUCACACUGUCCCCAGGCCCUCAUGGUGGCCUCUGCGGUGUCCACGGCCGCUGCUGCUCUCGCUGAACCUGAUGCUCGGGCCCUCGGCACCAGGAGACCACCAAACUCUUCUGUAAACAUGGAUAAGUCACUAAGGACUGAGCCUCUCCGGGCUUGGUUUUCUUAUUCGUAAAAUGGGGACAAGACAAUACUUGUCAGAGCAAACGCUCCCCAACUGUACAGGCUUGGCUGGACACCACAGGACACAGAAAGUAAAGCCCUUGACCAUGAGGGGAAACCUUUCAGACUUCGAGAAACAGAACGGCCGCACGGGCCACACGCACCUGAGGGAGCCAGGGCAGAGCUGCACCCGUCACGGCCAGCAAAAGGCACACCCUCAAAGGACGGGAGCAGGAAGAAAAAGCCGUCAACACCCACGCGGCGCGGCACGCCAGGGACGAAAGACAGAAUCCCUGACCCAGGGAAACCACGGAUGGAAUGAGCAACAGGAAAGCCGCGUUAGGGAGGCAAGAUCCAGCUGAGGAAGCCCCCAGAAGGAAAGAAUAGAGAGAGAAAAAAAGAAAAAGCUAAGAGACACAGAUAACGGAAGAGAAAACAUAUCCAAUAAAUGAGAAAGAGAGGGAGAGAAAGAGAGGGAGAACGACGAUAAAUCUCCCAGAAGCAGAGAAGAGAGAGCGCUCAUAUCACAGCAGUGCAUCGACGGCCACACAGGAGAGAGAAGGAAAACCUGCUGGACACAUUCAAAGGACUAGAACGUCAAAACCAGACAGAGAAUCCUCAAACUCAGAUGAUCUCAGAAUUCUCAAAGACAACUCUGGGUUCAAGGAGACGAUGGAAAAAAUAUGCUUCAGUGUGGAAAGAAAAGAAGUUUGUACCUGGAA